rnacentral:rRNA from 1 species
AUACGAAGGGUGCUAGCGUUGUUCGGAAUUACUGGGCGUAAAGAGCAUGUAGGCGGAUAGAUUAGUCAGAGGUGAAAGCCCCGAGCUCAACUCGGGAACUGCCUUUGAUACUGUUUAUCUAGAGACCGAGAGAGGUGAGUGGAAUUCUCAGUGUAGAGGUGAAAUUCGUAGAUAUUGGGAAGAACACCAGUGGCGAAGGCGGCUCACUGGCUCGGAACUGACGCUGAGAUGCGAAAGCGUGGGGAGCGAACAGGAUUAGAAACCCUUGUAGUCC